AGCUGAAUAAGGAAAAAAUGUAUAUCCUACCAAGCUUGUUGAUCAAAAUGUGAAAUCUUCAGAAUGGAUUGAUACAAGUUGGACAGUUAGAAAGAGUUCUAAAUUGAACUUAAAAAUUAACAUGAAUGAAAAUGAAUAAAUAAGUGCGUGCACAUUAUGUUUCAGAGUUUAAAAAUAUUUCAAUAAAGUAUUUGUAACUAGCCACAUAUGAUUGCAAUCUGUAUGACAUAGGUGCCCAGGGUUUAGCACAGAUUCAGAGGCUGGAGAUACAGUCCAAGACUUAAGAAGGGCCCUAGUUGGGUUACAGAAAAUGGUAGAAGUCUCAAGCUUGGUCUCUUGGUGUAAUGUUUCUGGCAUUACACUGGCACUGUUUCCAAACAGUGAGUGCUGGCAGACUUUCUGAAUGAUAGACAGUUGUGCAAUUAUAGAAUUAUAGGGCUAGGAAGGACCUUGGAGAUCUUCUAGUUGAACUCCCUGUCCAAAGCAGGAGUCCUUACACCAUCCAGGACAAAUGAUGCCCAAUCUUUUCUUGAAAACUCCAGCAAUGGAGCAUCCACAACUUUGGGGAGCAUGCUCUUCCACUGAUUAACAGUUCUCAAUGUCAAUUAAGUUCCUCCUUAAUUCCAGGUUGGAUCUCCCUUUGAUGAGUUUAACCCAUUGCUUCUUGUCCUGCCUUCUGGUGCUUCAGAGAAUAAGUCAGCAGCAUCUCAAUUACUGGAAGACAGCUAUCAUGUCACUCCCAAUCUUUCUCUUUGUUACGCUAGACAAAUCUAGUUCCCUUGUUCAUCAUACAGUUUAGCCUCUAGACCCCUUAUCAUCUUUGUAGCUCAUCUCUGUACUCUUUCUGAGGUUUCAAUAUCUUUUUUGUAUCAUUGUGACCAGACUUGGAUGCAACAUUCCAAGUGUGAUCUCACUAGUGCAGUGUAAAGCGGUACUAUCACUUCCUCUGACCUUGAUGCUAUCCCUCUGCUGAUGCAGUAUAGGACUACAUUGGCUUUUUAGCAGGUGCAGCAUACUGCUGCUAGCCCAUACUUAAAUGGUAGCCCACCAGGAUGCCUAGAUCACUUUAACAGUUACUGCCGUUAAGCUAGGUACUGCCUAUUCUAUACCCAUUUGUUUUUUCCUGUCUAAGUGUAGGAUUUUACUUUUCUCGUCCCUGAACUGCAUCCUACUGAGUAGGACCCAAUGCUCAAGUCUAUCAAGAUCCUUUUGAAUCUUGAGUCUAUUUUCCAACAUAUUAGCAAUUCCCCCAAGCUGGUGCCAUCUCCAAAUGUGAUGAGUUCCUUUUCAAUCCCCUCAUUUAGGUCACUUAUGAUGAAGCUUAUGAAGAGUUCUGGCUCAGGACAUUUACUUCCACUGCUUAUUUCCACUGCUUACUUCAUGUAGAUGUAGUUUAAUUGAGGACAUACACAUUGAGUGCAGUUUGUCAGCCAGUUAUGAAUCCAUCUGGUGGUGAUGCUGCCUUACCAAGAAGCAGGCUGUGGUCUACUUUGUCAAAUGCCUUACUGAAGUCCAAGUAUAAUAUAUCUACAGCAAUUAUUUGAUAAACAAUUAUCUUAUUCCUACAAAUUAGUAACAAAAUUUGCUGGAAAUUUAAUGCAUUGAUAAAUGUAAUUGCUCUGUUUUGUGGUUUCAGUGAAACAUCAUGUGCCCUUGCAGGUAAGUAAACACUUUUCUAGACAUCCUGGAUACUGGAAAGUAUUGGACUGAUUUUGAGAGCAACACUAUUCUAGCAGAUGGAUGAGCAGGCUGUAGUGGAGACUGGAAAAUGUUAGACUAAUGUCUAAAUUUACAUUAUCUUACACCAAACAUUGCCAGUUACUCUCAUAUAGUGGUUACUAAGAAUAGUAACUUCUUUCCUGUCUUAGAGUUCUGAAGCAUAGCUGAGCCUUUAUGUUGGACAAUUUGAAUAAUCUUCCCGUUGAUGGGCAGCUAGAAAAAUGACUGUGGAGGUCACAGGAAAGGUGAUAAUAGCAGGUCACAUUCUUUUCCUGUAUUGUCCUUUUUGUAGGUUUAAACAACUUAUGCCCUUAUCUUGGAGCAUUCCAUAAGGAAGAGAAGGAAAUCUGAUUUGUAUGCACCUAAACUUUUACCAGAUGUAUUUUAUUUAUUAGAUUUAUAUAUUUGCAACAUAAACCUGGGUGGUUACAAAUGAUCAUUAAAACAAUUUAAAAAUAUUUAUUAAAUUUAUAUACUUGCAUAUAAUAACCCUUUGUUGCUCACAAAUGACAAUAAAAACAGUAAAAAACAGCACAGAAAUUCCUCGCACCUCCAAUCUGGAAAUAUUGAUAUUGGUAUCUCCAGCAACAGCAACAGUUACAUUUUGGGCCAUGUUUUUCUGCUUUUCAAUAUGCCUAGUUUUUAAUAGAGAAUUGUAUACUUACAGGAAUUUUAGAAUAGGAUUCCAAGUAUCUUGAUUUUUUUCAAUCAUUGAAAAAUGAGUUUGAUGUUUUUAGAGUAGUAAAUUGAUCUGAAAUCUUUUGUGGAAGAAAGAGGAGGAGAUUUUUCCUGAAACACUGACCAUGGCUAGGCAAAUAAUAAUUAUGGAUAAUAAUAUUAUCCAAUAAAUUAUUCCUUGCACCAACAUGCACUCAUACUGACACACAUCCCAUGAAUGUAAUUCGGGGUGCAUCUGUACUACCAGCCUAGAGGCUUCAAAGGGUAGAUGUGGGCUGUGUUUAGGGAGGGAGGCAACAGCAGGGGGAAAAGCAGUGAAAACCAGACUGAUGAAAAGAGGAGCCUGAACAGAACAGUUGAGAAAUGCCAGUGUUUCAUGCAGACCACCUCUCCUGGGCUUGCACAGGAAACCCAACUGCAUUAUCAAGAGAGCUUCUGUUGGGUCUGCUGAUGAGAGCUAACUUCAGAAUGUGAAUGGAGGCGGAAGCAGGCAGCCCACCACAUGUCUUCUUAUCAUCCAGACAGCCUUGUAUCCUUUCCCUCUUCCAUCCAGCUGAUUGAAUGCUCACGUUCAAAUACACCAUCGAAGCCUAACUUUCCCAAUGAGUCACAAACCCUAUGCAUCAAAUGAGUAGUACAAGCAAGAAAAAAGUUUGUCAGUAUUCACAAGAAUAUUUCUUCAAUACAAAAGGAGCGAUGGCAUGGCUUUGUGAUGAGACAGAAAUAAAUACCCAAAUUCAACCUA